rnacentral:lncRNA from 1 species
GAAAAGGUGGGGGUUUGCAAAGGGAGUAACUUCUGGUUCCUUUGUUACUUAGGUAUGGAAAGUUAGGGUUUUCCUUUCACUUUAGUUCUAGGAAGUCAGCGUGAAACGCCUGAAGUUUUCUGCCUCCAGACUCUACUCUCCUGCCUCAAUUCUACUCUCUACUUUUAUAAGCUCGACUCACAUGACGAAAGCCCUCAUCAGAUGCUUACAUCAUGAUCUUGGACUUCCCAGCCUCCAGACUGAUGCUAUGGAAGAUCAGAAAAUAUAAAUUUAUGAACUGCUAUAAACUGUUAUUUUCUUCGUGAAGAUCAGCCUCCAGGUUCAUCACAUGACUCAGCUAAGAGAAAAUAUCCAGUGGCUCAUCGUUACCUGUGGGAGGAGCACAACAAGAUGUUCCAGACUUAUUCAACAUAUUGUCCAGCCAGUCCUGGAAACAAUCAGUUCCCUGAGGACAGAAUUAAAGUUUAGAGACCUGAAUCUGGGCCCCAGGGGUGGUCAUUACUACUGGUUUGCCACUGCUUCUGUAGCUUUUCAGUGAAGAGGUAGUUAUGUAAUAUGUAUCUAAAAAAAUAAAUUCAAGUUAUGUAUUUUAAAAAUAAAUUCAAGGUCUAUAUAUUUUAGAAAAAGGAAAAAUCAUGUGUUCAUGUUAAUAUUUAUAUUUAAAUAUAUAAUUACAUGUCUUAAUUUAUGUUGUUCUACCUUGAUAAUUCUAUACCUCUAUUAUUUUGCUUUUAUACCUUUUCUCCCCAAAUUUUCUUAAAUUGAAACUCUUGGUUCCUAAUUACAUGUACAUACUUAUUUAUCUUAUACCAUAUACAUAUAGUAAUUUCAAAAUAACAAUACAAACAUUAUUAUCAUUAACAAUAAUGCUGCCGAAUAAAGCUUGUGAUUUCUUUGUGGAGAUUUUCAUACUUGGGAUAUAUCUCACUAGUGAUACUAAAAAAAACCUGCGUUUUAAAGUCACUCGAAAUAAUUUUUCCCUGUGUGGUUUUGUCAACAAUUUGAUAUGCAGUUAGAUCCCUUUACUUCAAAAAAUUUUGAGUAACUGCUUAGCUUUUAUUUUUGAAAUAAUCACAGUUUUUGAUUACAUAGAUAGAGCAUAAAGCAUUUACAGGGUUCCAAAGUGUGUGUGUAUGUGUACAUAUGUAUACAAAUAUGUAUACAUGUCUAUGUAAAUACACAUACACACACACACACACACACACACACACACACACACAUAUUCAGAGACAUCCAUCUUCUGUCCCUGUGUCUUUUGCCAUAAGUAACCAUCCUAAUAAUUUUUAUUUUAUCAUUCUAUGGUUUCAAAAUAAAAGCAAAUUUAUAGUUAUAGUCUUUAUUUGAAAGUAUUUCUUUAAAUUCAAAAAUCAGAAAAACUUUCAAACAUUGUCUUAUUUUGCUUGACCUGGACUUGUAAUUAGAUGACUAUAUCAGAUAGAAGAUUGCUUCAUUUUGCAGUAUUUUAGAGCCAGAGAGUAGGACAACUUUUAAUCAGAGACAGCAAGUACUAUAAAUCCUGAAGGAAAUGUAAGCGGCAUCUUAUAAAUGGAAUAUCAACUCAUAUUCAUAUAGUGAUUUUCAUUUUACACAGUAAUUUCACUAUGCAUUUAUUAAUUUAAUUUUCACAAUAGCCUUAUAAGUUUAUCUCCAUUUUACAAAUUUAAAAAUGAGACAUGGGAUAAAAAUGACUUUCCCCAGGCCUUCCCAAGUUCACACAGCUAAUUCUUGACAGAGGUAAGAGAAGAAUUCAGGUCUUCUGCCUCUAACUCUGCAUCAUAUGAUACUGCAUCUCAAAUUACUUGCAAAUACAUAUGGAACUCCUGUGUGUCUUAAACCAUAUUUUCUGUAGUUGCCAUAAGUUACUCCAAAUGAGUGUUAGAAUUAUAAAAUUCUCUAUUCCCUUUUAGGAGAGUCAUGAUACAAAUUGACAUUAAUUAGUCUCUAAAACUUUAUGUAUUAUUGGAAUAUGUUUAAUUUUGUAUUUCUUAAUGCUUCCCAAUUUUACAAGACCACAGAACAUCCCUCUACCUACUCCCGCCAAAUCUGGACUAAACCUGAAAAGAUAUCAAAGGAACAUAGCUUUUUAUUAAGUGUGAGUUAAUCCAUGAACGAUAGCUUCAAUCAGCAGUAAUUUUCUUAACAUAAUUCAUGCCUGAGGAUUAUAUUCAGUUUAGCUGGACAUCUAUGGCACACCAUAAGCCAAAUUUUGAAGAUUAUUCAUGUUAGAAUUGGAUUCAGUCGAUCCUUAGUGACUUAACAAUCAGGCCUUAAUUGAAACACACACACACAUUGUUAUUGACAGUGUAGAAAUACUGACUCAUAGAAAAAUUCACCCAUAUUUAGUUAGCAGACUAACAGGAACAGCAGCAGCAGCAGCAGCUGGUCAUGCUUCUGUGUGUUGCUAGCAACAAGAAACCAUGACAGCAAGGCCCCAAACAGGAACCUCCUGCAUUUUCUCAUCUGUGAUGAGGCACACUGAUGCUGGGGAUUAAUGAGCCUGAAGAUAUAAAGCAGUGUUUACCACUGGAAAAUGUCUCCUACACUAAAAGCAGAGGCACAUGCCACUGGCCCUCCAUGACACCUGCUCACCAGACACUGUCCUUCCACUUCAGAAGGAUACCGGAUCCUCAUCAGGCCGUCUGACUUCUUACCUUGGGAAUGAGAACCUUGACAGAGGAAGCCUCAGAACUGAAG